rnacentral:sRNA from 1 species
GCCAGGUGUGGUGGCGCACGCCUAUAAUCCCAGUGGCUUGGGAGGCUGAGGCAGGAGGAUCAUGAGUUCAAAGCUAGGCUAAGCAAAAACAAGGCACUCAGCAACAUAGUGACACCCUGACUUUA